UCUUAUGGAUGAGAAAACAAAGUGGUUUUUUGAAAUGGAACCUACUCACAGUGAAAAUGCUGUGAA
rnacentral:pre_miRNA from 1 species